rnacentral:lncRNA from 1 species
ACCCGGAUUCUAGCGUUGUAAGUCCGCAGACAUACCGCUGUGCCACUGGGGGGCGGGAAAUAAUAAAGACAAAACUGGUGUUUUCGUCAUAAUAUAAUUUCGGAAAAACACAAGAUAUAUGUUUAAUACAUCAUCCUAAAUUUAUUCCUAAAAAAACAAAAAACAAAUAUAUUGACGGAAUGCCUGGAAUAAGGCUGAAUGAAGUUUGAGAUAUAAUAUAACACACGCCAAAUCAAUCGACUGCAGCCAGCUACGAUACGAUCUCAACGAAACAGUCUGGCUGCAUAUUGUAGUUAUUGUUGAAAGGUGGAUAACCAACUGUAACACCUAAAAUAAAGAUUAAAGCUUUGUUUUUGACCUCCCCAUCCCUGAUGGAUCGGCGGUAAGUUUGAGGACUUACAACGUUAAAAUCCUGGGCUCGAUUCCUCGCGGUAGACUGAGCUCAGAUAGUCCAUUAUGUAGCUUUGCGCUAAAACAACAUAAUCUCUGUUCGCCAGCAGGAUAUAACUCUCAGGUGUGUAUCAGAUACAGUAUCUCACAUCUUCGUAAAUUAUAUGUUGAUAAAUGAUACAUUUUUGCUUACAAAGGCUUAUGUACCGAGAGUUGUCGAACGUUACGAGACUAGGUACAUAAAUUUUACGAAAAUAUUUCUAAACAGUCUUAAUUUUUGCCAUCGCCAUGAAAACGAAACAACAUACCUGGACAAUAUUCAGAGGUCUUACACGUGAAAAGUCAUAUCUGCUUAAUUCUUGUGUAGCUAAUUAAUCACGUAAAUAAUCAGGUAAGCAAAAAAAUGUCUCUUUCAAUCAUUCUUUUGUAAAUAAUUAUCUAAUAAGAGUGUUUUACAAUAAAUCUCUUUAGGAAAUGUUUGUAAAUUUAAUGAAAAGAAAGACGAUGAUGUUUGAGAGAUAACGUUUUUUGAUAACUUGUCGGUAAAAGAACUGAGAGCUAAUUACGUGCAUUGUAACAAGUGUAGCUCUUACUACUGGUAUUUGAUCUAUGUAUACAGGUAUUUGAUCUAUGUAUACAGGUAUUUGAUCUAUGUAUACAGGUAUUUGAUCACUGUAUACUGGUAUUUGAUCUAUGUAUACAGGUAUUUGAUCUAUGUAUACAGGUAUUUGAUCUAUGUAUACUGGUAUUUGAUCUAUGUAUACUGGUAUUUGAUAUAUGUAUACUGAUAUUUGAUCAAUGUAUACUGGUAUUUGAUCUAUGUAUACUGGUAUUUGAUCUAUGUAUACUGGUAUUUGAUCUAUGUAUACUGGUAUUUGAUCUAUGUAUACAGUUACAUGGAGUGUAAUGUUAAUUGUAUAUAGCAUAUCAUCUCUUAAAUGUUGAAAGUGAAGGAAGGGUGCCGAUAAGCACCUACACUCAAGUCAUUCUGUCACAUUCUGCACUUAUCAUUAUUGCUUGACGCACGCCAUGCACACGGUUUUUCCAUUAGCUGAACUUAAGUACUGUCGGAGUGAAUGUCUUUCAGUUUCCAAAUCUUGAACACCUAUGAUAUAUCUGGCAAAUAUAAGAUAUUGCUUUCUGGCAUCAUUUCUCAAAAACAACAAACAAAUAUCGUUUAUUUAUUUCUAACUUUAGUGGAGAAAAUUGCUUUAAAGUAUAUUAACCCUAAUAUCUUUUUGCUACUAUUUUCUGACAUUUUUCUUUCUUGAUCAAUCUAAAUGAAUUUAGUAUAAUGGACAAGAUCUAAUAUAUAUAUAUAUAUAUAAUUAUUCCAUGAUAAUCAUAUUAAUCUUGAGCUUGUAUGUUAUUGUUUAUGCUCUGAAAAAAUAAAGAUAUCACUUAUUAAA